GCUAGGGGCACCUGCAGGAGACGCAGCAGAUAUAGGCAUCUUUAUCAGGUCACAAGCACCGGCUCCCCGCCCAUGAGAGAGGAAGGCCUGAGACACAGCAUGGAGCUGGAAGUCCUUGUGCUUCACCACCGACUCCUGCUGGGGGCCAGCUUGAGCCUCUGAAAGGGCCCCCUCUCUUCCCUGGGGCCCUGCAACCCUCAGUCAGAUGUCAUGCCUUUGUAUCAGAGAUGCUUAGUGCCUGGCUAGAGCCUAACUUAACAGUCAGGAAGUAGGAUGGAAGUCCAAAUUAGAGCAGAUUGCCCAUGGAAUGGAGCUGAUACAACUCUUUAAAGGAGAAUAUGUUAAAAUGUGGCAAAAACUUUUAAAGGGUACAUCAUUGGCCCAAGACUGUCACUUUUUACAACCUACCCGUUGGAAGUAAUCCUUAAAAAUUAAAACAAAAUGUUGAAGAAUUAUACCAAGAACAGCAGUCUCUUCAUUUCCUGUUGUUC
rnacentral:lncRNA from 1 species